GGUACCGGUACAGAGUCAAUGUGGAGGCUAUAUACAGGGGGUACCAGUACAGAGUCAAUGUGGAGGCUAUAUACAGGGGUUACCAGUACAGAGUCGAUGUGGAGGCUAUAUACAGGGUGUUAUGGUACAGAGUCAAUGUGGAGGCUAUAUACAGGGUGUUACGGUACAGAGUCAAUGUGGAGGCUAUAUACAGGGUGUUACGGUACAGAGUCAAUGUGGAGACUAUAUACAGGGGGUACCAGUACAGAGUCAAUGUGGAGGCUAUAUACAGGGGGUACCGGUACAGAGUCAAUGUGGAGGCUAUAUACAGGGGGUACCAGUACAGAGUCAAUGUGGAGGCUAUAUACAGGGGUUACCAGUACAGAGUCAAUGUGGAGGCUAUAUACAGGGGGUACCAGUACAGAGUCAAUGUGGAGGCUAUAUACAGGGGUUACCAGUACAGAGUCAAUGUGGAGGCUAUAUCCAGGGGGUACCGGUACAGACUCAAUGUGGAGGCUAUAUACAGGGUAUUACGGUACAGAGUCAAUGUGGAGGCUAUAUACAGGGGGUACCGGUACAGAGUCAAUGUGGAGGCUAUAUACAGGGGGUACAGGUACAGAGUCAAUGUGGAGGCUAUAUACAGGGGUUACCAGUACAGAGUCAAUGUGGAGGCUAUAUACAGGGGGUACCGGUACAGACUCAAUGUGGAGGCUAUAUACAGGGUAUUACGGUACAGAGUCAAUGUGGAGGCUAUAUACAGGGGGUACCGGUACAGAGUCAAUGUGGAGGCUAUAU
ensembl:lncRNA